CACCAUAGGAACUAGAAAACAUUUGAUAACACGAGGCCUCUGGGACAGGAAGACUGAGCAGGUCUGGAUAAAAACAACCCUUUUCUGCCCUUUCACCUUGAAUCCUGGGCGUCUCACCUGUUUGGAGACGAUCAGGACUUCAGCGUCUUCCACACUGAGCAGAAGUUCCUGUUUCCAGCGUCCUCCACCGGCCUGCGAACCACUAGUGCACGUCCUGUUGGAUUCCUCUUUGUGCCCCAACAUCUAGAUCAAGCAAGGGCCGAUGGAGUCCCUUCUGCCGCCCCAGGAUACAGGACCAGGAGGGACGAGUGGCUCCCUUAGCUCUCAAGUCAGCCACCCCACAGGAAGACUCAGCCUGCCACGCCUGCUGCUCUGAAAAUACAUCACAGAUUACAAGGAAAGCUCAGACCAUCGACUUCCUGGGCUGGGGAUUUGACAGACCAGAAGCCCAGCUUCCGCAUUUAGCCCAGCUGGUUGGGAGGAUUCCCUGGAGAUCCUGCACUUUCGUCCACUGCACCUCACGUGACCUCGUUCCUGAGAGCUCUGUAUCUAAUUGCCCAGCUGCAAACUCAUCAAUAGCCUCUACCUGACCCAUCUGGAGGCUGUCGUCCCCCCUUCCCCUGCCUUUCCUCCCUCUGGAAAACUGGAUUCCCCAGCGGUCACCGUGGAUAGUGGUGAUGGCCCCUGGAGUCGGUGAAUGUGGGGGUCUUCUGGAGCCCACCUUCCUCAGGCCACAGCAUUGUUUUAACCGUUCACUGAGCACUUUCAGUGUGGGCUCUGGGGAGACAAGGGGGCCGGCACACAGUGCCUGCUCUGGGGAACUUGUGGUGCAGCAGAGGACGUGGGUACAAGUGGGCCAUUAGAAGUGCUGUGAGGAUAGAGAGAUGUACAGGCUGCAAGGCACAGAGUGGGCAAUGAGGGCCGUGUCAGGGAAAGUGGCCCAGGGGAAGCCCCGGCCCAGGAGAGGGCUGAAGAACGGUUGGUAGUUGGCUGUGGCCUUGGGGAAAUUGUAUGCUGCGCAGAGAGAAGCCAGAGAGAACACAGGGUCCAGGGAAGUGCCAGGCAGUCUGUAUGGCUGAGUGGUGUGUCAGUGGGAAGAGGAGGGAGUGGAGGCUGGACAGGGGCAAAGGGAGACCAUGCAGUGCCUCCAGUCCAUGAAAGAGACUGGACUCAAUCCAAGAGCAACAGGAGCUGCUGAAGCGUGUUAAGCAAGGGAUGACGACAUUGAGUAGCCAAUGUUGGAAAUAUUUAUUUCUAUUCAUAUAAUGGGGAAAAUUCAGAAGGAGGCUUGCUCCCACCCAAGUUCGCAGUCAAUGAGUAGACUGAAGAAGAGCGGCCUAGAGACCUGCCCAAGGCCCACAGCAAGCAGGGCGGAGCCGGCACUGGAACCCUUGCCUGUGCUUGGGGAGGCGGGGAUCUACAAAGAGGGGAGUAAGUGGAUAAGCUGGGACUCUAAGCCACCUUGGUCCGACUUAAGCCAAAGGGGACAUUACUUAUGAGGAUGCAGGCCCAUGGCAGGACAGUGGAACUUUCAGAGGAGCCCUGAUUCAGAGGCAGGAUGUUCUCAAGACUCCUUCUCUGUCUCCUUCCCAUGCCUGCCUCUGCCCAUCUGCUCCAUCCCUUCUCUUUGCAGCCCUUCCUCGGGCUCUCUGGCUGCUGCCAGAGCCUGCUUGCCCCACUGACUUUGAGGUGGUGAGUCACAGGCCAGCUCUGGUUUCCAGGUCCAAGUUCCCAGGAGAGAGACUCUGAGAGCCCCAGAGCAUCUAGCAUAAGCUGCUAUGGCCAGCGUGUCACAUGUACAAACCCAGGGGCUGAGGCAUCCCCAGAGAAGGAGAACUGUGUACUAGCAGAUAUCCCAAAGCUGUCAAGCUCAGUAUGGCAUGGUCUCCACCCCUCCUGGGCGUACAGCUAUAUAGAACUUUAUAAUCCAGCAGGAAGAAAACACACAGAUCCCUACAAUCCAAAGGAUUUUAAAGAGAAUAGCUAAUAUUUUUGAGCACUUACUCUAUGCUGGGUAUUUUGCUAAGUGAUUCACAUGUAUUUUCUUACUCAAUUCUUGUGGCCCAGUGAGGUAGAUGCUAUUAUUAUCUUCAACUUACAGACAAGGAAACGGAGGCACAGAGAAUUCUGAUUGAGCUUUCCUGUCCAGUUUCUGAGACACAACACUCCAGUCUUAGGACAGAGGAAGACAGGCUGCCUUCCUAGGCAGUGGUGUGCUGGUAAAUGUUUAACAACCAGCUCUCUGGGGAAAAAAGCUCUGGUUUAUAGUGUUUGCUGAUUUCUGGGGUGUGAAUACUCCCAUCGUGGCUGAUUUCAACCUACCAACUUCCCAGAGCCAGUCUGAGCUACCUUCCACACAUAUGGUAUCUCACUCCUUUUGGGUGACUCUGGAGCUGUGUCCAGGAGCUGUGUGAUUUAGAGCAGUGGUUCUCCAAGUGUGGUCCCUGAACCGGCCGGCCGCAUCAGCCUCACCUGAAAACUUGUUAGACAUGCAAAUUCUCUGACCCCCCCCGCCCCCCCCAGACCUGCCGAAUCAGGAACCCUGGUCAUGGAGGGGAAGAGCAGCUCCUUGUGUUAUCCCAGCCCCCCAGUGAAUUCUGAUGCACGUUCCAGUUAGAGAACUUCUGGAGCAAUGGGGUAAUGUGCCCUUUCGCAAACCCAGCUGGUCCUAGUAUUCAUCCUGCAGUCGGGAGAAUGGGCCUCAUGCUCCCAGGUGGGAGAACUCCUUGGCAGAUGGGCAAACUGAGGCCAGAGAGGGGAAGGUGUGCUGGGAAGUGGUGGGUGACUGGAGUGGGUUGAGAAGUCAGCCUUGGUCUCCUCUCCCACAAGGUGAUGGAAAUGGGUGAGGGAUGUCUGCAGAGUCCCAAGGUGCAUGGUAGGGUGGGAAGAGUGAGCUCUGACUCCAGACAAGUGGCCAGAGCAGAGGGAAGGAGGAGAAUCCACAGUCUUCCAGCGCGGGCUCCUCUGAAGAGGGGAAAUGAGGAAAGAGGCACAUAAAAUCACAAGGCUCAGUAGUGCCUGGCCCUGGGCCUUCAAGGCUGGUCCAAAGAGGUUCGGAAUCUGAAGUAAGUCCUGGGAGCGAUGCAAGAGGGGCUGGAUGAGCAAUCUCUCUGCCUCAGGUCUGAGCCCAGAAGACCUGAGAUGGCUCCUGCAGUGGGAGAUGGGCCAGGAGCCCCAGGUCCAAGUCCUGCCAAGCUCUCUGUGGGAUGUGUUUGCUGUCUGGUUGUCUCAACAACUUCCCUCAACCCCAAUCCAGAUUUACUGUUAACCAAAGACAAACAAAUCAAGAGCCAAGUAGCGGAAAUGAUGCAAAUUCCAUGUCAGCCCUAGGAGGCCGUGAAACACCUGGGCAAUCAGCAAGGGUGUGAUGUCACCCAGAGAAAUACUCGGCUCUCAAGCAACUGUGUUACGUGACGCGGCCUGUGUGCCCUGGUCACAUGCGGGAGAGGGAGGUUCCCCGCUGAGCUCAGUGUUUCUGAUAGAGAACCAAAACACAAACAGAAACUGUCUUGUCACGAUGAAAUCUGUAAGUCAUGUGAUGGCACAGAUCUGCCCAAAGUUUUGGUCAGAGAGUGAAGAUUCAGAGCAAGCAUUAUUUAGCAGAAUCAGGCCCUGCUGGGAUGAUGGCCUGCUUUUUUACUUUGGCCGGAAAGUCGGGUCCACUGGAAUCUCAGCCACUCUCCUUUCAGGAAAGCAGCUCUGUAUGAAAGAGUUUCCUCAGAGGCACCUGCUUGAGAAUUUCUCUAGCAAAAAUCCUGGAACCAACACCAGCCUUCCCCUUCUGGGCUGCUAUGUCCCUGUGGUGUCUCCUCCGGGCUUGGACUCCAUGUUGGUCCCCAGGGAGAGGCAGAGUGCCUGAGCUGGCCGUUCCUGCAUCCCAACCCAGAGUGGCCCACGUUGGGGUGCUUCGGCAGAUGCUGGUUUAAACUAAGGGAAGGUCUGGGCGUUGUGCAGACAAAGCAUUCUGCUCAGUAAAUGCUGAGCAAAGGCCUGGUGGCAAGUUGGAGGUUUCAGGUAGCAGGGAGGUAGGAGGUGUUGGGGUAGAGGGACAAUGACCCACUCCGUUCUCUUGCCCCCAUUCUUCCAGGCUCUCACUCUUUGAAAAGCAACUGUGGGCCACCUGGAGUGCUGGCACUGGGUAAUGGUGUGGACAAUACAGAAAUGGGCAGCCAGGUCACCGCCCUCAAGGGGCUUACGUUCUAUUUAGGUAGAUAAAACUAUUACAGCCCAAUGCAGUAACAAGCAAUGGGGAACAGCAUGCAAUUUACCACAAACCCAGAGCAGUGAAGCAUAGAAGGAAAAGCAUCAGUGGUCCCUGUGCUAGACACACUGCACCUGAAUUCUAGCCCUGCCACUCACUAGCAGCUGUGUGACCUUGGGCGAGUUGCUUAAAUACUCUGAGCACCAUUUUAUACAUCUAUACAAUGGAAAUAAAAAUUCCCAACUCACAGAGUUUUUCUGAAAAAUGAAAUAUUGGUUGCAAAACAGCUGGUAAAAUGCCCAGCACAUAGUAGGUACUUGAUAAAUUAAAAAAAAAUUUUUUUAUUGAGGUUAUGAUA